GGACGGAUUGAGCUGGGAAUACUACCUUCAAUGUAAUUGCGGGACAAAUCAAGAUGAGUGAGAGAUGUCAUGUUUCCGAUGGAAGCAGGCAGCUUACCAUGCACAAAAUUGUUAUCCAAUUGAAGAACCUCUAACUUGCUCCAGCUCUGCUUGAAUAGUUGAUAGCUGCUGACACCGAGAUUAUUGUUACCAAUAUUCAAGAACCGCAGAUUUGGUAGGUUGCAAAAACCAAUUGAAUUGCUCCCCUGAAUGCUGUUAUAGCUGAGAUCAACAGAUAGGAGGCUACUGAUAUUCACAAGCCAUCUGGGGAUCGAGUUCAAGUUGUUGUAACUGAGGUCUAUGACAGCAAGUGAACUAGAAUUAGCAAAGCUAACAAACAAAGUGGACCUUUGUAAGUUACAAUCAGAUAAGUGAACUUCACUUAAAGCUGGAAGCAUGCUAAGUGGUCUAACCCAUUUUGAUCCUACCAUUGCAAGGUCAACCCCAUCCAACACUAGAUAUUUCAGGGACGUGAGGCCAGUAACCCAUUCAAGAUUAUCAAGAAAAUUUUCUCCAAAAGUGGAAGAGAUGUCAAGGUGCUGCAAGGAAGAGAUGUUUCCCAAAUUUGGAGGUAUUUUUCCACCAAAUCCAGAAUUUGCCAAGUUUAGAUAUCGCAGUCUCUCAAAAGACUCAAAGAAUGUAGGAAUUUGGUUGCCAUUGAAUGCAUUAAAACUCAAGUCUAAAUAUUCCAAGGACUUUAGUUUUGCUAAUGAUGAUCUAAGCUCCCCUCCUAACGCAAACUUUCCUGGAAAUUGAUCUGGGUUGUGGAUAUCAACAGUAAUUACAGCUCCAGUUCUAUUGUUGCAGCCUAUUCCCCACCAUUGACAGCAAUCGCCUCCUUGCCAUGAUGUGAGAAGGUUAUUUGGAUCCGAGAGUCCAUUUUUGAACUCAAUAAGAGCUUCUCUGUCGGAUGCUUUGCAAUUCACUAACUGGGCAUUGCCAUUAUGAGCAAGUCCAUAAUAUAUAGCAUUGAACAUGCAUUGACAUAAUCAUCAGAUAGUUGCAUUGGACUUGUUCUGUUCACCCGGGUUCCAAACGGCAUAUGAUAACAACUGGUGGCGAACAAUGAUUUUUGUCAUCUUGAGAUA
rnacentral:misc_RNA from 1 species